rnacentral:tRNA from 2 species
UCCUCGGUAGCUCAGUUGGUAGAGCAAGCGGCUGUUAACCGCUGGGUCGUAGGUUCGAGUCCUACCCGGGGAGCCA